GUCCUCAACUGUCAUGUUUUGCCAGCUGCAGCACAGGGAACCACAGAGGGACUUGGCCUACUGAAGAACUUUGGAGGGAAAGUGAAAGAAAAGAGUGAAAGUGACUUUUCAUCACAACAAGAUUUGCCAGUAUGUAGCGCCCAUCACAACGCAGCUUAAGGAGCCUUGUGACCAAGAAUCUCUGCUUUGUCAUGGCUGUUCACCACGUCCCACCAAAUACAGCUGAUGGACUUCGAGUUGAUUGAUUGACUUGAUUGAUCUGUCUGCUCACAAAAGGUCAGAAAAGAAGCUUUAAAGAUGUGUCAUUAUUGCAACUGUACGGUGUAAUGUUGCUUGUUCGACCUUUUGAACCCUUGCUUUUUUCUGCUGUACAUGUACCUAUUUUAUGCGAUAGUAUUUUCAUGAACUUUACCAUCUCAUCACCUUCGAUUGUUGUACCUGGUGGUUGUUGCGAUUGGCAGCUUGUUAUAUUUGAGGUGUUGACUGAACUUAUUAACAAGUUGUUGAAGCUAGGGGAGGACUGUGGUUUCCUCUAUAGAACAUUUUCAUUGACCUGUAGAUCAACUAUAGUCUUAUGGUAAUAUCAACACCCAACCAGUGCCUGUGUGUACAAUGGCAGUGGGAAAUUUGUGGAAAAAAGUGUAUUUCUGAUCAAAUG